AUUUGUACUUUCAGUUAACCCAAUUGUUCCUGGCAAUGAAGGAGAUGGUGGAAAGUACGAGUCGUUGGAGGGACGUUCGAAUCCAAACGUUUAUGAAGAACUUCAUACUGCAACGUCUGGUAACAGAGGGACAUACAUCAAUACUACCAUCGCUUGUAGUGAUUA